rnacentral:rRNA from 1 species
GACGAACGCUGGCGGCGUGCUUAACACAUGCAAGUCGAACGGAAAGGCCCCUUUGGGGGUACUCGAGUGGCGAACGGGUGAGUAACACGUGAGUAACCUGCCCUUGACUUCGGGAUAACUACAGGAAACUGGGGCUAAUACCGAAUAGGAAUCCUUGCUGCAUGGUGGGGGUUGGAAAGCUUCGGCGGUUUUGGAUGGACUCGCGGGUUAUCAGCUUGUUGGUGGGGUAGUGGCUUACCAAGGCUUUGACGGGUAGCCGGCCUGAGAGGGCGACCGGCCAGCUUGGGACUGAGGGACGGCCCCGGUUCCUACGGGAGGCAGAAGGGGGGAAGCUUGCACAAGGGGCGGCAGGCUGAUGCAGCAACGCCGCGUGCGGGAUGCCGGCCUUCGGGUUGGAAAACGGUUUCAGCAGGGGCGAAGCUUGUGGUGACGGUACCUGCAGAAGAAGCACCGGCUAACUACGUG